GAGCUUGCCUCAGCAGCACAAUUACUAAAAAUUGGAAUGAUACAGACAUUAGCAUGGCCCCUGCACAAGGAUGACAUGCAAAUCCAUGAAGCAUUCCAUAUUUUU